rnacentral:rRNA from 1 species
CAGUCGCCACGGUAAUACGAAGGGGGCUAGCGUUGUUCGGAAUUACUGGGCGUAAAGCGCACGUAGGCGGAUAUUUAAGUCAGGGGUGAAAUCCCAGAGCUCAACUCUGGAACUGCCUUUGAUACUGGGUAUCUUGAGUAUGGAAGAGGUGAGUGGAAUUCCGAGUGUAGAGGUGAAAUUCGUAGAUAUUCGGAGGAACACCAGUGGCGAAGGCGGCUCACUGGUCCAUUACUGACGCUGAGGUGCGAAAGCGUGGGGAGCAAACAGGAUUAGAUACCCGAGUAGUCCCUGUCUCUUAUAC